AUGUUUCUUGUGUUAUUAUGUCGAGAGAAAGACUUCAGAGAGUUUGGACAUGCAAAUGUGUUCUCUGAAUUACUAACAGAUUUGAAGGAACUUGAGGAAAAUGGCAUAGUGACAUCAGAUAAAACUGUAGUCAAAGGAACCUUGUUUUGCAUUGCUGGAGAUAAUUUGGCCUCACAUUGCAUUGGUGGCUUCUGUGAAAACUUUAAUCGUACACAUCAUUUCUGUAGGUACUGUCUAAUGACACGAUCUGAUUUUCAGAGUGGCGACCCAAAUCAGUGUGGUGCAGAACGCACCAAGGAAACAUACAACUCUGCUGUUGAACGCCUCAAGACUGAAGGUAUGCCAGAUGUGCAAGGAGUAAAGUUCGAGUCAGUUUUCAACUGUUUAAAAUAUUUUCACAUCUGUCAGCCAGGUUUGCCACCUUGUUUAGGACAUGACAUUUUUGAGGGCAUUUUGUCAUAUGAUGUUGCGCUGUUUCUUAAAUAUUUCGUGAAGAAAAAACUAUGGUUCACUUACUCUGUUCUGAAUCGGCGCAUUAAACAGUUUAAAUACUCAGACACUGAUGCCUCUUCAAAGCCAUGUGAGGUUAGUCCUCAAACAGCUAAACUCUCAGGACAGGCAAUACAAAACUGGAACUUUUUAAGGCUGUUGCCUCUCCUAAUUGGUGACAGAGUGGAAGAUGAAACAGAUGAUGUGUGGCAGUUGCUCCUUCAACUGAAAGAUAUUGUGGACUUGGUUUGUGCUCAGAAAAUUUCUGUAUCUCAGGUUGCAUAUCUUGAUAUUCUUAUUCAAGAAUAUUUGGAGUCAAGGAAAGCUCUACUUUCUGAAUGGCAUCAGUUAUUGCAAGCGUAUCUUUCAGCAGGAUCAAUGUGCCAGACUGCCUUGCAAGUUAAAGGUGGCACUCCGUUUUACCCAGCACUAUAUAGUAAAGCUAUUCAAGAUGCUGUCAGACCAUUUGGAUUUACAGAGAAGAACACAAAGGUCACAGGUGAAAUGGUGUAUAAGGGAAAAACAUACAAGAAAGGACAUUUCCUUGUCACAGGCAACACUGACUCACUGGAGUUUGAUGAGGUAGUGCUCAUUUUAAUAAAAGAUGACACUGCUCAUUUCCUAGUAUCAGUCCACAUAACAGAGUUCCUUCCUAAGUGUCAUCUGUACUCUGUUAGGAAAGACACUGAAAAGAUGUUGUGUCUGAACAUCAACGCCUUAGCUGAUUUCUAUCCAUUGACAUCAUACAUGAAGAAUGGAUGCCAAGUAAUACCGUUGAAACAUAGUGUGGUGUCAGACUGA
rnacentral:lncRNA from 1 species